rnacentral:tRNA from 1 species
UGGGUAUGGUUCAAUGGUAGAACACCUGCCUAUCAAGCACGAAGCCCUGGGGCCCUGAGAUCCAAUCCUAGCACUUCAA